rnacentral:rRNA from 1 species
CACGUAGGGGGCAAGCGUUGUCCGGAUUUAUUGGGCGUAAAGAGCUCGUAGGCGGUUUCGUAAGUCGGAUGUGAAAACUCCAGGCUCAACUUGGAGACGCCAUUCGAUACUGCGAUGACUUGAGUCCGGUAGGGGAGUGUGGAAUUCCUGGUGUAGCGGUGAAAUGCGCAGAUAUCAGGAGGAACACCGGUGGCGAAGGCGGGACUCUGGGCCGAUACUGACGCUGAGGAGCGAAAGCGUGGGGAGCAAACAGG